GGGUUAGUCAGGACCUAAGAUCAGGCCGAAAGGCGUAGUCGAUGGGAACCAGGUUAAUAUUCCUGGGCCAUGGAGUGGUGACGGAUCUCGAGGGUAGUUCAUCCUUAUCGGAUUGAAUGGGCUGCUUAGAGGUUCCUGGAAAUAGCCCUCCUAUAAGAUCGUACCCUAAACCGACACAGGUGGACUGGCAGAGCAUGCCAAG
rnacentral:rRNA from 1 species